rnacentral:tRNA from 2 species
GGGCGUGUAGCUCAGCGGGAGAGCACCGCGUUCGCAACGCGGGGGUCGGGGGUUCGAAUCCCCUCUCGUCCACCA